rfam:Salmo salar isolate Sally breed double haploid chromosome ssa22, whole genome shotgun sequence.
UAGCUCAGUUGGUAGAGUAUGGCGCUUGCAACGCCAGGGUUGUGGGUUCGAUUCCCAC